AUGGAUAGAUUAGCACUGGACCUUCUUACUCAUCGGGACACUCCUAUAUCAGGAAUAGUGGAGAAGUUCUCAUCCAUGGCACACCUGGCAUGGGUUAACUCCUUCAAUGCACCACACCUGCAGUUGGUGGACGAUGGCCUCACGGACCUCCAUAGCAGCACCACAAGACCCAGAGGCCUGCCCCACUGCUCUCUUAACCUGGCAGCUGCUGCCUUGGAAAAGUAUAGUUGUGAAUAUGGCUCCACAAAGUAUUAUGCACCGUGUGGCUCUGGUGAGGUCUUAGGUUGUAGUCUGACACACACUGCCAUCAUUCUCCUGGGGUUUAGAGAAAUGCCAUAUGCAGGUAGACCCCCAAAAGUACAAGGGCAUAUUAAAUGGAUUCUCAGUUGCACUAAGGACGAUGGUGUUCACUGUUUGGCUAAAGGUUGGGCUCUGACUUUCAUUGGUCACUCCAUGCUGGACUCUGCAAGUUUGGCUUUUAUGAAGUCUUUAAAGUCUCGUAUAGCAAUAUGCUCCCAGAACAUGUUAUCUCUGGCGCAUAUCACUAUAUUUGGCUACCUCUGCAAGUGCUAAAUUCUUUGCUGUAAUUGCCUUAUGGAAGCUGCUAAGGUUCAAAUUCAAACCCAACCAGGUUACACCAACACUUUGAGGGAUGCAGCUCCCAAAAUGUAUAAGGAAGAAGGCCUAACAACAUGCUACAAAGGGAUUACUCCUCUCUGGAUGAGGCAGCAUACACCAUGAUGAAGUCUGUCUGCUUUGAAGAUACUGUUGAAGCAUCAUACAAGUUUGUGGUUCCUAAGCCCCCACAGUGAAUGUUCAAAGGCAGAGGAGCUGGUUGUAACAGUUAUAGCAGGUUAUAUACCUGGAGUGUUUUCUGCAAUUGUUUCUCACCCUGCUGAUUCUGUGGUAUCUGUGUUGAAUAAAGAAACAGGUAGCAGUGCUUCUCAGGUCCUCCAGACACUUGGCUUUAAAGGUGUAUGGAAGGGACUGUUUGCUUGUAUCGUUAUGACUGGUACUCUGACUGCACUAUAGUAGUUUAUGUAUGAUUCUGUGAAGGCCUGCUUCAGGCUCCCUUGCCCUCCCCCACCCAAGAUGCCAGAAUCUCUGAAGAAGCAAUUCAGGUUAACUCAGUAGCUAGAUCAAAGCAAAUGUGGACUGACUCUGCUUGUUGAUCAGUGUUGAAGAAAGUACAAAAGGAACUUUUAUAUAUUUGACAGUGUAGGAAAUUGUCUAUUCCUGACAUAAUUACUAUAGUACUCUUGCUUAAGGCAAGGGUUUCAAAUUUGCCAUUGAAAUAAACCCAACUCUUC